rnacentral:rRNA from 1 species
UUGCCUGGCGGCCAUAGCGCCGUGGAACCACCUGAUCCCAUGCCGAACUCAGAAGUGAAACGCGGUAGCGCCGAUGGUAGUGUGGCAUUCGCCAUGCGAGAGUAGGACACUGCCAGGCUUC